rnacentral:rRNA from 1 species
AUUGAACGCUGGCGGAAUGCUUUACACAUGCAAGUCGAACGGCAGCACGGGGCAACCUGGUGGCGAGUGGCGAACGGGUGAGUAAUACAUCGGAACGUGCCCAAUCGUGGGGGAUAACGUAGCGAAAGUUACGCUAAUACCGCAUACGAUCUACGGAUGAAAGCGGGGGAUCGCAAGCCCCCGCGCGAAGGGAGCGGCCGAUGUCAGAUUAGGUAGUAGGUGGGGUGAAGGCCUACAAAGCCAACGAUCUGUAGCUGGUCUGAGAGGACGACCAGCCACACUGGGACUGAGACACGGCCCAGACUCCUACGGGAGGCAGCAGUGGGGAAUUUUGGACAAUGGGCGCAAGCCUGAUCCAGCCAUUCCGCGUGCAGGAUGAAGGCCUUCGGGUUGUAAACUGCUUUUGUACGGAACGAAACGGUUCUCUCUAAUACGGGGGGCUAAUGACGGUACCGUAAGAAUAAGCACCGGCUAACUACGUGCCAGCAGCCGCGGUAACAC